rnacentral:rRNA from 1 species
AAAAGCUCGUAGUUGGAUCUCAGCUCCGGCCGGACGGUCCGCCUACCGGUGGUCACUGUUCGUYGCCGAGCGUUSAGGCGGUUAUUCUUGAUGAUCUUCACCGGUUGUCUCGGGUGACCGCCAAGUUUACUUUGAAAAAAUUAGAGUGCUCAAAGCAGGCGCGACGCCUGAAUAAUCGUGCAUGGAAUAAUGGAAUAGGACCUCGGUUCUAUUUUGUUGGUUUUCGGAACACGAGGUAAUGAUUAAGAGGGACAGACGGGGGCAUUCGUAUUGCGACGCUAGAGGUGAAAUUCUUGGACCGUCGCAAGACGAACUACUGCGAAAGCAUUUGCCAAGAAUGUUUCCAUUAAUCAAGAACGAAAGUUAGAGGUUCGAAGGCGAUCAGAUACCGCCCUAGUUCUAACCAUAAACGAUGCCAGCCAGUAUUCCGCCUGUGUUCCUCAAAUGACACGGCGGGCGACUUCCGGGAAACCAAAGCUUUUGGGUUCCGGGGGAAGUAUGGUUGCAAAGCUGAAACUUAAAGGAAUUGACGGAAGGGCACCACCAGGAAUGGAGCAUGCGGCUUAAUUUGACUCAACACGGGGAAACUUACCCGGCCCGGACACAGGAAGGAUUGACAGAUUAAGAGCUCUUUCUUGAUUCUGUGGGUGGUGGUGCAUGGUCGUUCUUAGUUGGUGGGGUGACUUGUCUGGUUAAUUCCGAUAACGAACGAGACUCUAGCCUACUAAAUAGACGUUUCCGAUCCUCUUUGAGUCGGACGCUCUUCUUAGAGGGAUAAGCGGCGUUUAGCCGCACGAGACAGAGCAAUAACAGGUCUGAGAUGCCCUUAGAUGUCCGGGGCCGCACGCGCGCUACAUUGAAGGAAUCAGCGUGUGCUUUCCCUGUCCGAAAGGACUGGGUAACCCGUUGAACCUCCUUCGUGCUGGGGAUUGGCGCCUGUAAUUACUCGCCAUGAACGAGGAAUUCCCAGUAAGCACGAGUCAUCAGCUCGUGUUGAUUACGUCCCUGCCCUUUGUCCACACCGCCCGUCGCUACUACCGAUUGAAUGAUUUAGUGAGGUCUUCGGACUGGCGCUCGGAUUGGCCUUCGCGGUCGAGCCGGCGUGCCGGAAAGAUGACCAAACUUGAUCAUUUAGAGGAAGUAAAAGUCGUAACAAGGUUUU